AGAGGGAUAGCUAGGUCAAAUGGUGGUUCCAUUCCCAAGGAAAUCUCCAUACUGCUUUCCAUAUUGGUUGCACCAAUUUGCAGUCCCACCAGCAAU
rnacentral:pre_miRNA from 1 species